UAGGGGUUCUUGUAGUUGAGUUA
rnacentral:tRNA from 1 species